GGUGAAGCUGUUGACAAAGACACUGAUCACAGAAUCACAGAAUCACAGAAUUGUCUAGGUUGGAAGAGACCUCAAGAUCAUCGAGUCCAACCUCUGACCUAACACUAAUAAGUCCUCCACUAAAUGAUGCUGUGUCCUCCACUGAUAAUGCUGUGAGCUGUGCGGUGUGGGCACGUACCCACCAAGAACAAACAGAGGUUCCUUCUGCAGCAUGUGCAGAAAUCCCAGUUAACUUGGGUGCUGAGCCAGGGACUCCUGAACCAAGUUCACCAAGGGCAGUGGGCAUCUCACAGGCUGCCUUCAAGCACGUGGGUGCUGAGCUCUUCCAUUUCUGGUUCCUGGGGCCUUUGCUAGGAUGAUCCAUCCUCUGACUAGCUCUGGGUUACUCACAGACAGUUUUUAUUAGGUUGUCUUCUUGUGAAUCUAGGGAAGGCUCAUGGACAAUCUGGGAACUUAGGCCAUCAGAGCACCUAUACAGAAAAGCUAAUUUAUUGUAUCUCUUUUUUUUUUUUUUAAUUUUGUUUCUCAACAGUAGGUAACUCUAUUAUUAAUCAAACAGGGUGUGUCGAGCAUAUCCUGAGGGUCUCUGCCUGUGUGCUCACACAAGGAAAGAUUUUGAGCAUCUGUUUUUAGGAGCCAAACAGUGGGAACUGCAGAGCUGAUGGUGUGUGAAGUCAGAAGCAUAAGCUCAAGUGGAGGAGCUUGUUGUCCUCCCAUAGCUCUGUCUUCUAAGCCACAAAUCAGCCCUUGUUCUGCCUCCAGCACAGUCUGAUGCUGCUGCUGCAGCAGGUUGCAAGUUCCUACAGUAAGCCUCUUGGUAUGUAAGUAGUUAAAGCACGUGCUUUCUUUAGUAUGAACUCAUGGGAAAAACAUACUGGGGACUGAGAGAGUCUGGGGAAUCUACGGAAAUAGCCCCUUUUAGUAAGCAAUUUGGAUCAAACAAUAAAAAUCACUUAUGUUUACUGUUGAAAGCUUAUGUUCAAUAAGUAAAUCCUCAAAGCAAGGCCCAGUCAAGUCUGUUGCAGCCCUGGGCCAGAGUAUUCCUGCACAGUGUUCCUGUCUCAGCCCUACAGCAGGGGCAAUACUGCAGACCCGCUCUUCUCCAGUAAAUUGUACUCCUGUCAUACACAUAAUGAACAUAACAUUUAUCCACACUAUAGCCACAGAUGUAGCCCACAUGGGUGAAAUAAAUAUGUUUGCAGUGGUACAUAACACACUCGAGCACUGCUGCAUUUCUCAUAGAGGACCAUAUGUGCCGAGCUGUGCAAACAAGAAGUGUAGAGUUUAAACUGCUGUCGCUAUAAUAAGUACCCCCAUCAUUCUCCUUACUAUUAUAUAAAAGAAAAACCAAAGUACAAGGCAAUUACAGCUUGACAGUCCUGACAUGUUUUUCUCCCCAAUUUGUUUAAAUAAAUUUGCUUACUAUUAACAACCAGAUGGAAAUGUAUAUAUUGCAAAAAGAUUCGUGCAACUAACAACAUGAGCUAUCACAGAGUAUUAUAAAAGAUGAACUCCAUUUCUUAAUUUGUUGUGGUAAUCCUUGUGUCUGAUUUUGAGUUAUAUCAGUAAAACAGAUAUUAAGGAAAGCCAGCUGCUUCUGUUAAAUAAACUCCUUUGUUUAAGACUUAAAGGGAGCAAAAAAGCCAGGUGGAGUUAUUGAUCUGUGAAUAUCAUCCGGCUGGGCCUCACAGGCAGUACACUUCUGUUUCUUCUAAUUGCCAGUGCCUUCAAGAAAUGCUGGCCAAACCAACAGGCAGGGAAAAUUAAUGGUCUGCUGGGGACUUUGUCUCCCUGAGUUGCAUACAGCUUAUUACCAACAAAACAGAGAAUCUGUAGAUAUAAGAAUUUAGUGGUAAAACCUUGGGCCUAUUGAAGACAAUGGAAAAAAUCCCACUGUUGCAGCCUAUCUUAUGUCUUUACUGUGACAACGUAGGAAGGAGUUUGUUGUCUGACUCAUCAAUUUAACAAUUUAACAUGCAGAUUUGCAUGUUGAUUUGGGUGCUACCUUUUGCAAAUUCCCUCCUUCUCUCCCAUAGUGAGAAAACAAUGAAAUCAUACUCUGAAAUCCCCAAGUCUCAUAGGUUGUCCUGUUCUCUAAUCCUCUUUGACAUGCCUGGUGAACAGGAGAAACUGAAGGUUCCUAGCACAUUCAGAAUGUACUGAAGUAGCAACGAGUGAUAGUCAAACUACACACUAGUAAAAGCAGGUGACAGGCUACAGAAAGAUCACGGUCUCUGGUACUAAGGGAGACUUGAUUUGCUUCGUUUUUCCCCAGCAAAACUUGUAAUACACUGCACACUUACUCAAAGCUAGUAACUUCCAACUCAGCAGAACUCUAGCAACAAACAACUGUGUAAAAGCAAGUUUUAGAGGUAGCUAGAGCAAAGGAAAAAAGAACUGGCAUUCUUAAAAUAUUUUCGAAACGAAAGUAUUGCAACUACUUCUGAAUUUGUGUGCUUUUUAAAGUUGGUGAAUUGUUAUUUUACAUCACAAUACUUAAUCCUGACACUCAAUGGAAUACGAAGCAUGUAAAGUAUGUAUAUGCUUACAUAUGGAGUUUACUUAUGGAAAGUACUUUCAGAGAUGUGUCAGCCAUUUUUCUUCUAGUAGUACUAUUCUGGAAUUAAAGAGUCCAACAUUCAUUGUA